rnacentral:rRNA from 1 species
CCUACGGGUGGCAGCAGUGAGGAAUAUUGGUCAAUGGGCUUACGCCUGAACCAGCCAAGUCGCGUGAGGGAAGACUGCCCUAUGGGUUGUAAACCUCUUUUGUCAGGGAGCAAUUGGCGCUACGUGUAGCGUUAUCGAGAGUACCUGAAGAAAAAGCAUCGGCUAACUCCGUGCCAGCAGCCGCGGUAAUACGGAGGAUGCGAGCGUUAUCCGGAUUUAUUGGGUUUAAAGGGUGCGUAGGCGGAAUGCCAAGUCAGCGGUAAAAUCGCGGGGCUCAACCUCGCUCCGCCGUUGAAACUGGCGUUCUUGAGUGGGCGAGAAGUAUGCGGAAUGCGUGGUGUAGCGGUGAAAUGCAUAGAUAUCGAGAGGAACACUCGUGGCGAAGGCGGGUUCCUGGACAUUAACUGACGCUGAGGCACGAAGGCCAGGGGAGCGAAAGGGAUUAGAUACCCUUGUAGUC